rnacentral:lncRNA from 1 species
CAGCAGACAAACCCUAAUUUGAGCCAUCUUUGGCCCUUACAAACUGCGUGCUCUUGGGAAAAUUAUGUAACUUCACUUUAAAGUGGAAAUAAUGACUGCUGCGGCUGUGAGUACUCGUUACAUAACACAUCCUGUUGCCGAUCUUCUACUGGGUAUGCUCUAAAUGGUAAAUACCACUAGGAGAGGCAGACAGGAAGGGGCGGAGCGCCCGCCGGCCCAGCACCGCACCCGAGCUAGCGACCGCUGCGGGAGGCGCGAGUUAGCCCGGCGGCCGCUUUGCUAUCCCGGCCCUUUGAUCCUGGCCGUUGCUCCGGGGCCGGCAGAGACUACGAUGAACCUCGGUUCCAGGCGCUGGGCAGGCAGCGAUAUUGGGUCCAUGGCUCCAGCGAUGACUCCGGUGGCGGCUCCGUUGUCCCUGGCUGUCAAGGCCCCAAACCCGGCAGCAGCCCCCACCUCCUAUGGGGUCUUCUGCAAGGGGCUCUCUCGCACCCUGCUCGCCUUCUUCGAGCUGGCCUGGCAGCUUCGGAUGAACUUCCCGUAUUUCUACAUCGCAGGCUCGGUGAUCCUCAACAUCCGCUUGCAGGUACACAUUUAGAAAAGUGACUAAGCUGCCGGCCUUGGGCGGCUAGCAUGAUGGCCGACUCCCAGGCAUUCCCGGGACUUAGUGAACCUGCGAGCGAGGAGCUCGGAGAUCUCGCGAGGGGGCCCGGACGCACUCCGCGCCUGCGCUCUGCGCUCCUAGCGCUCCCAGCGCUCCCUGGACCGUGGCGGGACCCCUGCUAGGACCAAAAAGAGGCCUUAGGGGAGUCCGGGAAUUGAGACCUUCAGCUAAAACCAAAAAAAAAAAAAAUCAGAAACUUUGUAUUCUUAAACUCCGAUCGAAUUCCAGGAUAUAACAGAAGGACACAGAAUAUAUCAUUAAAAAGGAAGACCGAAUUUUUCAGGAAAAAAAAAAAUUGUGCAACAAAUUCAUGGCCUGAGUGAAAAUUAAGAAAUCAGUAAACUUAGGGAAUACCGGUGUGGAUUGUUAGCAAGACGCUGAAGAAAAAGCCGAUGGUAUUAAGGAUAUGAAAUGGAAGGCAUAUGUUUUUUCAUCCCACGUGAAGGACGAAGCAAAACUGUACAGGAAAAACAUCCUCCAAACACUAAAUGUGAAAUGCUGCACGAUUUUGAACAAAUGGUAGAAGCGUGAGAAAAUGCAUUCUGCUUUAACUUCCUGUGAGCAGCAUUGGGAUCACGAUCUUUGCAAAAAGGAAAUCCAAACAGCAUAAAACUUGGCUAUUCAUUGAAUAAUAUUUUACCAUCAUAAUGCAAAUUCUAUGUGUGGUUUUUUUCCCCUUCUAAGGAAAUAUUUAAUUAUGGUUACAGAAUAGAAUGUGAAAGUCAUUAGUCUUGAUGUAAAAAUACAAAUGGGAAUGUUGUAGGAGGGAGGAAAACGUAAUUGGAAUGGUUACAUGUUCUAAUAAAGUGAAGAGUUGAGAGACACAGUCUGUUGUGAAGGGAAAAGAAGAUAUUUUGUUACUGACAAGGUAGCCAUGGUUUCUAAACUAGAAAUAUAACUAUUAAAGUGGGAAGGUGGGAGGUGAGAACACCAUGAAGUCAACAGGAAAUCCUGAAGAUGGAGAGUUCAGGUAGGACUCCUCAAAAAGAAAAAUUGAUAAGAGUACCUGGUGUAUUUGAAUGUAGACUAGGAAUUUUUCAAAGAGGCUGGGGUGAAUUAUUAGUCUGCAGCCUUUUCAAAAUUCAGAAAACAAAACUAAUAAAUCCAAGGAAAAAUGAAAAGUUAUAAAAAAAUAUAUUGCAACUGAAUAUUAGUCAUGUAAAUUCACUUAUAGAUAUUGACUACUAGUUUAGCAAAUGAUUAUAUAGCAUUUGAGAAAAUGGAAGAGGAGAGAGACAUAAUUGUGAAAAGUCAAAUCAAGAUUAAUAUGGGGGUGGAGGUGAGUGCUUCCCUAGCAUCCACCAGGACUGGAUUCAGUCUGUGUGUGUGUAUGUGUGUGUGUGUAUACCCAUAUAUGUAUAUCCAGAAAAAGUGAUACAAACAUGUUUUUCAGAAAUAUCUGCAGUAAGAAACAGGUUACAAGCUGUUGUCUCUGGAAGAAGGAAAUAAAGGGUAGGUCAUAAAAAGGCCAAGUUUUGCUUUUUUUUUCACUACCAGUUUAAUAGUAUUAUUUGAUUUCUUUUAACUAUGUGUAAGCUUUUGUUUAAUUGAAAACUUACUUAAAUACAUUUCCUUUUUAAAAGUUCCCUAGGCAAUUUAAAUAUAUACCACUGGUUAAAAGUCACAAGAGUAGAAUGGGACUGGGCUGCUCAAUCAGGCAAACUUCUUCAAAUAUUCAUAUUCUGUAGUUUUGUGGUGAGAGAUAGAUCCAUUAAUCUUCCUAAACCUAUUUCCUCAUCUGUAAAUGAGGGUAAUACCCCCA